UUUAGAAACUUUUUAUAAUAAUUUUUUUUAAAAAUAAAAUAUUAUUAAAAUUUUUAUAAAUAAAAAUAAUCUUUGGUUGGGGCAACCACGAAGAAAAAAUAACCUUCGAUAAAAAAAAGAAAUAAACAAAUUAAAAAAAGAAAACUUUUAAACAAAUCCGGAAAUUCCGAAUUAGAAAAAAGUUACCGCAGGGAUAACAGCGUAAUUCUCUUUAAGAGUUCAUAUUGACAAGAGAGUUUGCGACCUCGAUGUUGGAUCGAGGCAUCCAAGAGAUGCAGAAGUCUCUAAAGGUAGGUCUGUUCGACCUUUAAAGCCUUACGUGAUCUGAGUUCAGACCGACGAGAGU
rnacentral:rRNA from 1 species